GUACCUCAUGACAGUCGGGGUGAGUUCAGUGCAAUGAACUGAAAAUGCUGUGGUGCCAGCAGUAACAGCACUGAUUCCCAAAGUUGCUAAAAUCAGGCGCAGGGUCUGCUGCGUUUCUGGGGGCUGGAAGGUGUUGACCAGAAUGGAAAGUCCUGCCAGGAACAGGAACAGUAUCUGACUUCCCCGACGGCCCAGAUAAUUCAAUGCCAAGUAGGCAACAAAUCUGCUGAUAAAUGUGACGAGGCCGAAGAGAAUCUGGAA